CCGAACUCAUGUAUAAUACUCCUAUUUUAUUAAUUUUUUAUUCUUCUCUUCUUUCUGACGGGUCUUCUCUCCUCUUUCUUCUUUCUUCUUUCUUCUUUCUUCUUUCUUCUUUCUUUUGCCAUCUCUUUCUGUCACUUCUUGUCUCCUCUUUAGUUUUUUAAUUCUUCUCUUCUCUUUCUUCUUUUUUAUUCUUCUCUCUUCUCUUUCUUCUUUCUUCUUUCUUCUUCCUUCUUCUUUCUUUCCCCGUCUCUUCUGUCUCUCUUCUUCUUCUUGAAAAAUAGCAACCUGUAAAGUGCUUCUCUCUGCUCUCUUCCCAGAAUCUGAUUCAAACUCGGCUUCUCUCUGCUCUCUUCCCAGAAUCUGUAAAGUGCUUCAAUAGAGAUUGCAGAUCCGAGGUUGCUUCUUCCUUCACCACAAUCACUCUUCCAUCACUGUGUGUGGUAUGGAGACUGGAGAGACCCAUAACCAUGUGGGUGGAAAAGUUCUCAGAAGGAGAAAACAGAAGAAGAAGGGAUCGGUGAUGUACUCGUUUGUGGCCCAAUGUCAAACUCGGUUACAAGCCCAACCGUACCGAACCGACCGAUUAAAUCGGUAUACCGACUUCUCGGUAUACCGGAUUUUGUGGCCGGUAGUGGUAGAGUUUUUUGCAUACCAGUAUAAGUUGGUACGGUACAUGGUAUCGGCCCGUAAGCUUCGGUACCGAACCGAACCCAGCCCUAGCUUAUAUCAUAAAAACACUCUACUUUGGAAGUGGCAGCGACGAUCCGAAUUGUUCUACACCCAAAAGGAUGUUGAUGUUGUGAGGUCAGAGUGGGCUAAGUUUGUGAUGAAGUAUCAUAUUGCAUAGCUGUGAUGGUUGUUCAAGGCAGGGCUCUUAUUUUGGUAUUUUGAUCACCUGCCUCCUGCUAGCUGGUUUAAGUUUUUGCUUU